rnacentral:rRNA from 1 species
UUAAGUGGAAAAGGAUGUGGAAUUGCACAGACAACCAGGAUGUUGGCUUAGAAGCAGCCACUCAUUAAAAGAGUGCGUAAUAGCUCACUGGUCGAGUGACUCUGCGCCGAAAAUUUAACGGGGCUAAACUAUACACCGAAGCUUGGGAUACAUCUAAUGUAUGGUAGGAGAGCGUUCUGUAUGGAGAGAAGUCGUAGCGAAAGCGGCGGUGGACUAUACAGAAGUGAGAAUGCCGGAAUAAGUAGCGAGAAUUAAGUGAGAAUCUUAAUGGCCGAAAGUCUAAGGUUUUUGGAGGAAGGUUCGUCCGCUCCAAGUAAGUCGGGAGCUAAGGUCAGGCCGAAAGGCGUAGCCGAUGCACAUACGGUUGAUAUUCCGUAACCAUCUGUAAUUUAAGCAAAGGGACACUUCAAAAGGGUGUGACCCGGGCGUUGGUUGACCCGGGCGUAAGGGACCGAAAUUAGAGUAGGGAAGCACACUUAGCUGAAGGCGAGAAAAGCUUUGCGUAUAGAAGCAGAUGCCCGUACCGCAAACCGACACAGGUGGACAGGAAGAGAAUUCUAAGGCCAGCGGGAGAAGGGUAGUUAAGGAACUCGGCAAAUUGACUCCGUAACUUCGGAAUAAGGAGUGCUCGAAAGAGCCGCAGAGAAUAGGCCCAGGCGACUGUUUAGCAAAAACACAGGUCUCUGCCAAAUCGAAAGAUGAAGUAUAGGGGCUGACACCUGCCCGGUGCCGGAAGGUUAAGAGGAGGAGUGAGAGCUCCGAAUUGAAGCCCCGGUAAACGGCGGCCGUAACUAUAACGGUCCUAAGGUAGCGAAAUUCCUUGUCGGGUAAGUUCCGACCCGCACGAAUGGUGUAACGAUCUGGGCACUGUCUCAACUACCCACCCGGCGAAAUUGUAGUACCGGUGAAGAUGCCGGUUACCUGCGGCAAGACGGAAAGACCCCAUGGAGCUUUACUGUAGCCUGAUAUUGGGUUUCGGAAAUCUAUGUACAGGAUAGGCGGGAGACUAGGAAACAUGAGCGUCAGCUUGUGUGGAGUCGAUGUUGGGAUACCGCCCUUAGGUUUCUGGAAUUCUAACCUGCGGCCGUGAAUCCGGUCGGGGGACAUUGUCAGGUGGGCAGUUUGACUGGGGCGGUCGCCUCCGAAAAGGUAACGGAGGCGCUCAAAGGUUAGCUCAGCACGGACGGAAACCGUGCCUCUGAGUGUAAACGCAAAAGCUAGCCUAACUGCGAGGGUGACGGCCCGAGCAGUAACGAAAGUUGGAGUUAGUGAUCCGGCGGUAUGUGAAUGGAAAUGCCGUCGCUCAACGGAUAAAAGCUACCCUGGGGAUAACAGGCUGAUCUCCCCCAAGAGUCCACAUCGACGGGGAGGUUUGGCACCUCGAUGUCGGCUCAU